GGCGAAUUGCGUGGCAGUGGGCUGGGUAAGACGGAGCGGGUGAGCGUUGGUUGGGAUUACUGUGCGUAAAGUGGGCGUGGGGGGCGAUCCAAGUCAGGCGUGAAAGCCCCGGGGUCAACCUGGGAAUGGCGCUGGGGACUGGGGGGCUGGAGGUCGUGAGAGGAGCGUGGAAUUCCCAGUGUAGAGGUGAAAUUCGUAGAUAUUGGGAAGAACACCGGUGGCGAAGGCGGCGCUCUGGACCGACACUGACGCUGAGGCGCGAAAGCGUGGGGAGCAAACAGGAUUAGAUACCCUGGUAUC
rnacentral:rRNA from 1 species